CCAAUAACAGCACAUGAAAUUGAAGCAGUAAUCAAAAAACUCCCAGGGGAGCAGAGGGCUCUGCCCUGUGAUGUACAGUCCCUUUCCACAACAUUGGAGAGAAAGCCGGGCCUUGAGUCUGCGCCUGCAUAUUUCUACAGCUUCUCAGAGUCCUUUGGACAAUGACUGAGGAGACAAACCAUGCAGGAAACAUCU